CGGGAAGGAGACUGAUUCUGAGAUCAGCGCACAGGGCUGUGAUUGGGAGGGGCAGUUGGGAUCAGGAUUGGGGAGCAGGAUUGGGCAGAAGGAGAAGCUGAGCAGAGAUGCACGAAGGCCUGACAAAGGGCUCCGCCAGCCCGACAUGCGGCUCUGGAGACAGAUGAGCCAUCAGAAUGGGCUCAGAUCAGACCUUUAUACCCGGUGCAGAGCAGCCCCUGGAUGAGGCUGCCCCUGGAAGGAGGUGUGGCCUUGGACAGGUCGUUUUCUUCUGCUGAGGCAGUCCUCAAAGAGGGUGAGAGAGGGCCGGCCGGUGGCGCAGGGAUUGGGUUCACACGUUCGCUUCGGCAGCCCGGGGUUCGCCGGUUCAGAUCCCGUGUGCGGACAUGGCACCGCUUGGCAAAAGCCCUGCUGUGGCAGGCGUCCCACGUAUAAAGUAGAGGAAGAUGGGCAUGGAUGUUAGCUCAGGGCCAGUCUUCCUCAGCAAAAAGAGGAGGAUUGACAGUAGUUAGCUCAGGGCUAAUCUUCCUCCAAAAAAAAAAGUUAAAAAAAAAAAAAGAGGGUGAGAGCUGAGGGCACCUCCCAGCAGGUGAGGGAAGGGGUCCUUCAUUCCUGAAGAAGGAUGUGGGCAGCACAGCAUCUACCACCCUGAGGAAGGCCUCAGCAAGAAGGAGAAGUUGAAUAAGAACCUGAAGGCGUGAGGGCAAAAACUCUUCCAGGCAGAGGGAACGGCACGUGCAAAGGGCCUGAGGAGGGAUGAUGCCUGGGAGUGUGAGGAGGCCAGUGCGGCUGGAGCCGAGCCGUGAGGCGGAAGAUCUCUCAGGAGCCUGUGGACCCUGAGAAGAUGAAGAAGCCCUGUGUUGCACCUAUUUUGCUGAUAAGAUGAGUAAACCAAGGCUCAGAGAGGAGAAGAAAUUUGCUCAAAACCAUGCUGUACUGAGCUGGGAUGGGAAUCUGGCCCCAAAGCCCUCUCUGGACUCUGCCUUCUGUCGUGCGCACAAGAGGAAUGGUGUUGGAGACGUGGAAAGGAAGGCUUUGGUGUUUGGAUCUGGGCUUCCUUCUUGAGAAAUUAGCUGCACGCUGUCCAUUCUCUUUUGCCUCCUCUCCAGGGUUCCCUGAGCCACACCUGGUGUGGUCACAAUUGCAAAGAGGCCCGGGAGGGUCCUGGAGGUUCCCAGGACUGAAGCUGUCCCCUUUCAGCCUGGGCGCCCCUGUGUGGACUUGAUGGGGACCUCUUGUCUGACGGAGCCCGUGUGGUUCUCGUGCAAUGAUGGGAACCAGGGGCUGCGGAGGGAAGAGCAAAGGAGCACGCUGGUGUCCCUCGGACCCAAGUUCAGGCUCUGUCACUUCACGUGACUUCAAACAAGUGGCUCUACCUUUCUGAGGCUGUUUUCCCAGCUGUACAAUGGGCUCAUAACACCGACCUAUCUCUCAGGGUUACCAAGAGGGGAAGUAGAUGAAGGUACGUAAGGGCCCAUCCCACUCACCCCUGGCUCACUGUUGGUGCUCGGAAGCACUGGAGAACAGACUCCCUAGGCUCACCAGCUCUGCCUCUCACCAGCCAAGGACCCAUGGAGGAAUGCAUCUCCCAAGGCCGCAUUUCCACAUCUAUAAAAUGGGGUAAGAAGCAUAUCAUCAUCCCAGAAUUGUCGUGAGAAUUAAGAUAAUUCGUUGAAGUGCUUGGCACAUGGGAUGACUUCAUAAAUGUCAGUUAUUGUUAUGUAAAAAAUACCCUUUGGGGAUAUCCAGGGCUCACGAGUGAAGAAUGCUAUACCAGUAAUGUUAUUUGAAAGGAUCCAAAACCACUAAUAUAGGAUUUGACGGAGGGAAGGAUAAAAUUCUCCAUUAAAGUUCAAAUCAUUAGUUUCAUAUAAAUAUUUUUCCAUUUCUGUCUUAGAGAAGCCACUUCUCCCUGUAAUAAGCCCUUGGAAUCUUUGGAAAGAAAUGUCAAAUGAGAAAACCUAGUGUGUCCUGACUUGUGGCAUUCAGGUUUCUUUUUUCAGUCAACAACCCCUUAGUGAACACCGUCUGUGUGCCUGGCUGGGGACCCCAGAGGGAAACGCCCAGGUCUUUAUUCCUCAGGAAUUCACCACCCAAGGCCCUAGGGCCUUCCUGGUUGAAAGUUCAGAUGAAGAGCCUGAAAUUUACCGAGAGGCUGGCUUUCUUCCACCCAGAAACACACUGGAAAAUGGAUAUUCUAGAGGAGUUAUCCAACAACCAUUUCUUGGAA
ensembl:lncRNA